CCUACGGGCGGCAGCAGCAACGAAUCUUCCGCAAUGGGCGCAAGCCUGACGGAGCAAUGCCGCGUGUGGGAUCAAGUCCUUCGGGAUGUAAACCACUGUCAGGGUCUACUAAAUAAAUGAACAGACCCAGAGGAAGUGGCGACUAACUCUGUGCCAGCAGUCGCGGUAAUACAGAGGCCACAAGCGUUAGUCGGAAUUACUGGGCUUAAAGGGCGCGUAGGCGGACGGAUAAGUGCCUUGUGAAAUCCCAUGUCUCAACCAUGGAACCGCUGGGCAGACUGUUCGUCUUGAGGCUGGUAGGGGUUGCUGGAACUGUAGGUGGAGCGGUGAAAUGCGUAGAUACCUACAGGAACGCCAAUGGUGAAGACAGGCAACUGGGCCAGACCUGACGCUGAGGCACGAAAGCGUGGGGAGCAAACAGGAUUAGAUACCCGAUGUAGUC
rnacentral:rRNA from 1 species